ensembl:snRNA U6 U6 spliceosomal RNA
GUGCUUGCUUCAGCACAUAUAUUAAAAUUAAAAUUAGAAUACAGAGAAGAUUACCAUGACUCCUGCGCAAGGAUGACAUGCAAAUUCAUGAAGCGUUCCAUAUUAGA